ACCUGCCCUCCGCGUAUUCCGCGAACCGAGCUGCUUUGUAGCCGGCCGGCGUCGGGGAUCCUUUUUGCUUCGGCGUUGGUGAUGUAAAUUCAUGAAUUAAAAUUAAGGAUUUGCGGCGAACGUUGAAAAACGCAUUUGGAUUUAGGUUGCUUUUAAAAAGAAAACCACCAAAGAAGAGACGAUAGGUUUGCAGGAGUAUUAACUGCUGACUGGAACACUGGAUGCCGGUGCAUUACGAGGAUUUGUUCUCCAAAAACUUUUUUUUUAAUUGCACGUUGGUAAAUAUUGAGUGUUUUCAAGUAACAUCCUGCAGUAUGUAUUUAAUGUCCUCAUUGCGGAAAUUUCUUAAAUGUUCUUCAGAAGAUGAUGAGGUCAUUCAACCAGGUUUCAUCAGCCCCAGAGUGAAUCCUUUGACAUGGAGAUGAUGCUCUAAUGAGUAUCAUGAAAAAGAAGAUUCUGAAAAGUUGCUACAAUAUUUUAAUUUACCAACUAGUUUCUGAUAACUAUAGAUUGUGGUUUUUCUGUGGAGGCAAACUGGAGACAGUCCAGAUACCUUUUUCUUUUCUGUUGGGAAAUAAUGUUAACACCAAUGUGUUAAGUGACUGCAAUAAAGUUUCAUGUCUGUG